rnacentral:rRNA from 1 species
AGUGGCGGACGGGUGAGUAACGCGUGGGUAACCUGCCUCAUACAGGGGGAUAACAGUUAGAAAUGACUGCUAAUACCGCAUAAGACCACAGCACCGCAUGGUGUAGGGGUAAAAACUCCGGUGGUAUGAGAUGGACCCGCGUCUGAUUAGGUAGUUGGUGGGGUAACGGCCUACCAAGCCGACGAUCAGUAGCCGACCUGAGAGGGUGACCGGCCACAUUGGGACUGAGACACGGCCCAA